rnacentral:lncRNA from 1 species
GUCCGUUCAUUGCUGGCCUGCGAGCAGUACGCCAGGAUGACCAGUCCUCCGAUGAUGAAGAUCAGCAUGCACAUCUGCAGCGCAAUGCCCGCGGCCACUCCGCCAGCCAUGUUGAAGGCAGCGGGGAAGUUGAGCAGCCCAGCUCCAAGCGCAGCAUUCACCACGAUGAACACUGCACCCAGCGCCGACGUGGCCCCGGCGCCGUUCCCUUGGCUCUCCCCG